CGUAGCUCAAUGGUAAAGCCACCAGGCUGGUAACCUGGGGUUCGUAGGUUCGAGCCCGGUAG
rnacentral:tRNA from 1 species